UGUAGUCAUAUGCUUGUCUCAAAGAUUAAGCCAUGCAUGUCUAAGUAUAAGCAAUUAUACGGCGAAACUGCGAAUGGCUCAUUAUAUAAGUUAUCGUUUAUUUGAUAGUACCUUACUACUUGGAUAACCGUGGUAAUUCUAGAGCUAAUACAUGCUAAAAACCCCGACUUCGGAAGGGGUGUAUUUAUUAGAUUAAAAACCAAUGCCCUUCGGGGCUCCUUGGUGAUUCAUGAUAACUUCUCGAAUCGCAUGGCCUUGCGCCGGCGAUGGUUCAUUCAAAUUUCUUCCCUAUCAACUUUCGAUGUUUGGGUAUUGGCCAAACAUGGUUGCAACGGGUAACGGGGAAUGGGGCGGGGCGCCGCCCCGCGCUCGCACUCUUCCUAACGCGA
rnacentral:rRNA from 1 species